rnacentral:tRNA from 1 species
GCGCCCGUAGCUCAGGCGGUAGAGCAAAUGGCUUUUAACCAUUGGGUCAGAGGUUCGAGUCCAUCUCGGGCGUACCA